rnacentral:rRNA from 1 species
UGGGUGAGUAACGCGUGGGUAACCUGCCCUUAAGUCUGGGAUACCAUUUGGAAACAGAUGCUAAUACCGGAUAAAAGCUACUUUCGCAUGAAAGAAGUUUAAAAGGCGGCGUAAGCUGUCGCUAAAGGAUGGACCUGCGAUGUAUUAGCUAGUUGGUAAGGUAACGGCUUACCAAGGCGAUGAUGCAUAGCCGAGUUGAGAGACUGAUCGGCCACAUUGGGACUGAGACACGGCCCAAACUCCUACGGGAGGCAGCAGCC